rnacentral:lncRNA from 1 species
GUUUUCUGUUUAGUAUUAAAUUUAUAUUAAGAUCCAUUUUGUUACAUCUUGUGAUCAAUUUUAUUUGGCAAUCGCCAAUGGCAGUCAGCAAGGUUAAAGAACAUCAGUUGUUCAACCUGUUAGUCAAAUGAGUUUUGAUUAAAUAUACAUAUAUACUAGAAAUGCCAAAAGACUGGAUUAGACAAUUAAUAUAAGGUUCUACAAUUGCAACUGUCCAUUAUAUAUGCCAUUGUACAACGAUGAAACCCCAAGCGCUAUAACAAUUUGCAAAAUUACUUCUUACAACAAAAUAAAAAAAUUAACAACUAGGUUCAUGCAAAAUAACAAAUCAACUUGUUCUUCUGUCAAUGUCUAACUACAAACGGUACAUGGCGUAUACAAUCAAGACGAGGAUUGAAGAUAAAUAUCUUUGACUGAUUUCAAUCAUGAAUCGUUAGUUUCUGUUAGACUCACGUCCUGUGGAAAUUUUGAAUUCUCAAUAAUUAUCCCCUAUUUCUCAGUUUCCCCCCAAAAAAAAUUUUCUCUAAAAUUCCCUGUUGAUAAGUUAAAAAAAACACUAACAAACCAAGAUUCCCGCAAAUUUCUAAGGCAAAUUUGACAUCAGCCGAAUUCGUCUUUUAUCAAAGUCCUUUUUCGUUAAAUAUACCCUUCUUUUUUACUACGUGUUUAUACACUCUCCUCCCGUUUCAAAUGUUUGGUGUUCCUGAUGGAGGUAUAUCAAGAAAGGGCGCUUUGAACGAUUCUGAUUAAUAAAUUCAUGUACUAUGCUUUAUUUUCUUUUUCUAAUCUUAUUUGCAUAACUGGUUUGAAAUAAUCGAUGAAAGUGGUCAAUUUACAAAUCUCAGUCCUGUGAUUUGUAUGUUUUAGUGAGUAUGCAAACAUCUAACAAUGAGGACUAUCCCGCCAAAAAUGGUUGGUGUACGACUGCUCCUUCAAACACUCUUAACAUCUUUUAUUGGUCUCACCUGUCCACUUCUUUUGGUACCAACAAAGGGCUUUCAAAGUUGUUAUUGUUUGUACUUUGGGUUGUAAUGAUACCCAAGAUCAAUAAUGACACGCGCCGCCGUUUGUGUUGUGUUCUGGCAGAUGGCUCCUUGAAUGUGUGCAAGAACCGUUACAAUACGGUCACCUAUCUUGCAGGUGCUUUAAAAGUCUACUCUUCGACAUGCGCGCAUCACUAAGUAUAGUUAUGUUUAUCAAUUUUUUCAUUGAUUCUCUUCUGAUGUUUAUAAAUUUCCAAUAUUUUGGUGAUUGAAAUAAAGAGUUGUUUAAAUACCUUUCUGUUUG